UACGUAGGGUCCAAGCGUUAUCCGGAAUUACUGGGCGUAAAGCGUACGUAGGCGGAGGCUUGCGUGAGAUGCGAAAUCUUAUGGCUCAACCAUAUAGACUGUGUCUCAUACGGGGCUUCUUGAGGAUGGCAGAGGCAAGUGGAAUUAGCGGUGUAGCAGUGAAAUGCGUAGAGAUCGCUAGGAACACCAAUGGCGAAGGCAGCUUGCUGGGCCUUUUUCUGACGCUGAGGUACGAAAGCGUGGGGAGCGAACAGG
rnacentral:rRNA from 1 species